rnacentral:rRNA from 1 species
AACGAACGCUGGCGGCAGGCUUAACACAUGCAAGUCGAGCGCCCCGCAAGGGGAGCGGCAGACGGGUGAGUAACGCGUGGGAAUCUACCCAUCUCUACGGAAUAACGCAGGGAAACGUGUGCUAAUACCGUAUACGUCCUUCAGGAGAAAGAUUUAUCGGAGAUGGAUGAGCCCGCGGUGGAUUAGCUAGUUGGUGGGGUAAAGGCCCACCAAGGCGACGAUCCAUAGCUGGUCUGAGAGGAUGAUCAGCCACACUGGGAGUGAGAAACGGCCCAGACUCCUACGGGAGGCAGCAGUGGGGAAUAUUGGACAAUGGGCGCAAGCCUGAUCCAGCCAUGCCGCGUGAGUGAUGAAGGCCCUAGGGUUGUAAAGCUCUUUCACCGGUGAAGAUAAUGACGGUAACCGGAGAAGAAGCCCCGGCUAACUUCGUGCCAGCCGCCGCGGUAACAC